AUUACACUUCGAUCUGACAAAUCCCCGCUUCCCACGUCUCAUCGGGCAAUAGUUCUUGUCUUUGAUUGGCUUCGGUUAUUGGUGUCACAGCGAGGGAGAACACGGAUGUUCUGUUGCAAGGAGCACAAGGAAUACCGUGAGUGACACACAGACACACGGCUAGCCGAGGCUGUGGGUGUAAGGUUGAAAUACACGUCUCCUAACUGCCAGUAUUCUGUAAAACCUUGGAUAGAUUUCCGGAACUUUACCCCUCCCAGUGAAGGGGCUGUGAAGUAUAUGGAGCCCCUGUGUUGAAAGUUGUCAACUUUGUGUGGCAGCUGAUGCCGAUUGUGGGAGAGUUGUGUUGGAGCCGGAGCCAAGUCUCAGGGUACCAUCCUGCAGCCCGGGGGAGCCGCGAUACGUGACCCAGCUUCAUCUUCAUCUGCACGUGCUGCCGAGGACGGGACAUUGUCGAGAUGAGUGGACAGAACACCAGCUACUCCGUCUUCCUGCAAACAACGGAACUCUUGACCAACGCUUCCGGUGCCCCUCUCGCAGACUCUGGCGUCAGCCUCACCGUCACAAUCAUCCUCGUCCUCAUGUACACCCUCAUCAUUCUCGUCGCCGUCAGCGGGAACGUCGCCGUCUGCUACAUCAUCCUCUCCGACCACCGGAUGAGAACAGUCACCAACCUGUUCCUCCUCACUCUGGCUCUCAGUGACAUCAUCAAGGCAGUGAUCUGCAACCCGUUCUCUGUGUUCGCUAACCUCAUGCUGUACUGGCCAUUCGGGAGUGUCAUGUGCCCCGUGUGGCAGUAUCUUCAGGUGGUCGCCGUUUACGUCAGUUCUCUCACCCUUGUGGCCAUGAGCCUUGACAGGUUCGUCGCCAUUUUAUUCCCUCUAAAGCCCCGGAUGUCAAAAAGUCGUCUGCUGGUGAUAAUCGUGUCAAUACUCUUCCUGUCCUGCGCACUGCCUUUACCAACAGCUGUCAAGUCGAAGGUGACGUACCCCAAACCCCAGUACCCAAAUGACCCGUCGUCGAAUGGGCUCUGUCUGGAGAAAUGGGACAAUGACUUCCAUAAGUAUGUGUACAGUAUGGGUAUCAUGGUGACACAAUACUUUCUACCCCUGUCAGUUCUCGCAUUUACAAAUGGGUGUAUCGGCUAUGUCGUGUGGCUUAAAAAGCCCCCAGGAGAAGCGGAUUCUGGACGAGACAACAGAUUGGCUGCAUCGAAGAGACGGAUGGUGAAGAUGAUCAUCGUCGUGGUGCUGAUCUACGCUGUGUGUUGGCUGCCGCUGCACGUCCUCACACUGGUGGGCGACCGCGACCAGAGCAUCUACAACGACAGCUACAUGAACAUCGUCUUUCUCGCCAUCCAGUGGCUGGCAACCAGUCACUCCUGCUACAAUCCCUUCGUCUACUUCUGGAUGAACCCAAAGUUUAGGAAUGGUUUCAAGAGAAUGUUGCGCUUCAUUCAACUGCGGAAAAUGAAGGAGAAAGACGCCAAUGUCCCCUUCCAUGCCGACCACCUGGACAGGGAGGCGUCCAGUCACUUUGACUCAGGGGGAUCCAGGUACUACCACAGCACACGGGCCAGUAACCACGUACAGAGUGUGGACUGUAUGUAGGUGAUACACAAUGCCUGGUACAGAGUGUGGAAUGUAUGUAAGUGAUACACAGUGGCUGGUACAGAGUGUGGACUGUAUGUAGGUGAUACACAGUGGAGGAU
rnacentral:misc_RNA from 1 species